AACACUGGCAACAACAGCCUCUUGUUUAUGUAACAAAUAUGUAAUUGGGCAGAGUGCUAGGAAUGUAAUGGCUUGGGGCAUAGGUGGUGAUCUUUAAAUUGUCCCUUUCUUUUAUAUAUUGUGGCCAUCGCCAGAGUCUUAAGAGCCUUCCACGUACCUAUCCUGCUUGGCCAUUGUCCUGCCUAGCUGUCAGACCUCCUAAAUGAGGUACCAGGAGACAUGGCUACACAUGGUGACCACUCUAUUUGCCAUUUGGCUGCAGGGACCAUUUUACAGUAUGUUGGAGAGCAGGGCUGGAUGAAUGAAACAUUCCUAAUCAGCAUCAGAAGCUGCAGGUAACACCAAGAGCUCACUAAGGCCCAAGGGACUCAUUGAUACCUUUGAAGACACUUUAAACUACGGAAUGAUUAAGCAAGCUGUUUUCAUCUACACCGAGUCACUUUCAGCAGACCUCUAACUGUGAGCAAAGAAUUGUGAAGACUGUUCUAGAGAGAAAUCAACACAGUUCAACCAAGCCAGCCUGUAAAUGCACUUCUUUGCCCCUCUACGAACCAGCAUCUUUCAGUUAAUGCAGCUUUCAAAAGCAGUAUAUAUAAAUCACAUACUAUGAGUAACAGCACGUAAAAAGACAGGUUUGAUAACCCACA